AUUACCCAGUCUCAGGUAUGUCUUUAUUAGAAGUGUGAGAACAGACUAAUACAUAUUUUACUGAUGUCUUUGGCAGUAAAAUCCCUCAGAAAUAUAGUAGGCUUUUAAUCUGUUUUCAGUCAGUCCCAUGUACCAAUAAUCACAUCCCAAAUUAUCUCCUAAAGGUAGAUUCCCAUGUCUGCUUUUUCUGUUUCCUUUCCCUGUGUCCCUGUAUUUCAACUUUACAGUAGCUUCUUUGGAGGCAUUUGAAAGAACAGGCUUGGGUGGGACUGAAAUAGCCUUAUGCUGGUUUUUGCCCUGGGACUGAAUCACUUGAUUCAACUGAGAAAUCUUAAUAGGCCUCUUAAGAUUUUAUUUUUCAGUCCUUCUUUUCUCAGAUUUUAGGAGUUAGCUUUUUCCUCCUUGUGAAGUUACAUAUGUCCAGCUGUGAUUUCAAAUGAGCCGAUUUUUGCUGAUUUGCUGAAGGUCUUUUUUUUGUUUAUAAUAUCUUGCUAAAAGUAGAAAGAAAAAUACCCUAUAUUAAUACUCUUUUCAACAACUUUUCUUAAAGCCACAUGUGCAGUAGACACAUGGUCUGCCUGAAUUAUGACACGUGGCAACUUUACCAAAUAUUUUGUCUCUGUAUAAUACUAGUUUCCAUUUUUUUCCAGCUUAUAUUAUCCAUUUUCUCAUUGCAUACACUUGACCUUUAAUCCAAGAUAAUAUUUUUAAUUGUAGUGAUACUCUAUAAGGUAUAUCUUUUUGUGUUAAUUAGGAUAGCACUAACUGCUAUAACACAUAAACCCUAACCUGUUAUUUCUACCUAACCUAAUGGUCCAAUAUGUGUCCCGGUUGCUAGGCAGUUUUCCUUUACACACUAAUUUAGGGCACUCCUUUGUCUUAAGCCUCUACAUCUUUGACGUUCUCACCUCUAACCAAUGGAUGGGAAAUGAGGGUAUGAAACUUUUAAGUGACACAUUACUUCAACUCACAUCCCAUUGGUGAGUAGUAAUGUAACCUCUGAGUGGCAACUCCACACUCUGGAAGAGGAAGCACAAAUUGUAUGUGAAUAGCUGGCUUCAUCUACCACUGCUGCCAACAAAUACUACAUAAUCUUUUGAUUAAACUUAGACAAUUAGCUGCAUGAAACCCAACUCACAUCUGCUUUUGUUCCUUACAUUGAUCAAAUUAACAUUUUUUUCUGUAUAAUGAAGUCAAAUCCCUAAUGUAAAAAUUAACCUUUUUUUAAGUGUAAGACUUUGCUUCUGUUAAACUUUGUCGUGGCAGUAGCAUCCUUAUUAAGAUGGAAAUAGGUUAAGGAAUAUAUUUUAUUGACUGAAAUUUCAUGAUGGGAACUAGGAAUAAUGCAAUUGGUGUUUAGAUGUGCUUUUUAGGAUUCCCUCUACUUUAUUAUUCUGUUGCGCCCCUUCAUAACAAUUUGUUUUCUGUGCUCUCAAUACUAAGAAAAUCAUGCCACUCCCACAUUUCUCAGAGAAGAAGUAUAAUAGUAGAUAGGUGUGUUACAGGUUGAACUCUGUCCACACUGUUGAAGUCCUACCCCUAGUACCCCAGAAUGUCACUUUAUUUGGAAAUAGAAUCGUUUCCGUUGUAAUCAGUUAAGAUGAGGUCAUUAAAGUAGGCUCUGAUCCAAUAUGACUGGUGUCCUUAUGGGGAAGAUAAUGUGAAGACAGAUACACAGGAAAAAGGGCACGUGAUGACAGGCAGUGCUUUGAAAGACAUAGCUGCAAGCCAAAGAAUGCCCAUCAUCGAUGACCACCACCAAAAGCUAGGAAGAGGCAAAGAAGGCUUCUACUUAGAGUCUCAGGGAGAAACAGUUUGAUUGUAAACUUCUAGCCUCCAGACUGUGAGAGAAUAAAUUUCUGUUUUUAUAAGCCACCCAUUUGUGGUACUUUAUCACUGCAGCCCUAAGAAGCCAACACAAGGUGCAAGAGUUGAGGAUCACCUCUGGAAGCUGCCAUCUGUGAGGUCCUGGGUUUCCAAGCAUGAAGCAGACCCAGCUCAGGGAAAGAGAAAAGGUUUAAAUUGGAGCCUGUUUUAACCUGAACUACCUGAAAAGCAAGCUGGAUGAACAUAAUGCCUAUUCUUAGUGGAAUAUCUUUGAGUGAACUCCUACUCCUAUGCAUCCUUCAAGGCAGAUCAAAUGUUUUCUAGUCUGUCAAACGUGACCGCAGGCAGUUCUUUUUGCCUUGUUCCCAGAACACAGCUGCAUCUUCUUCCAUGUGCCAUUUUUUUUGCCUUACAUGGUAAUUAAUGGUUCAUGUAUCUGUCUUCGCCACAUACUGUGAGCUCCCUAAGGACAGGGACAAGUUGAGGAAAGUGACUGCUCAACAUUUGCUACUGUUGCUACUUAUAGCUCUUCUAGUGGUGUAGCCUAUAGUAAAUUCAGCACACAAUUACCAGUUUCCCUAAGCAUUUCAGUAGAAUCUUCUCAUGUCAUUUCAGCAGGAGUUAAACUGGUUGUGUGUGUUUUGUGGUUUAUAAUAUUGUGUGCUUAGAAAGCAAAAUUAAGGGCUCACUAAAUUGAUGUGGAAAGAGAUUUUAUGUUGUGUGUGUGUAUGUGUUUGGAUGGGGUCUUCAAAUGUUUGUUAAAGGAGUUGUUUAUUCAUCCAUUGCCAAUCCUUUUAAAAACAGUUACACAGCAGAGAAGGGGGAUUGUAUUUAGAGGAGACGCUAAAUCAACACCUAAAUUAAGGGUAAGCUUUUAGGCAAAUUACUGUGUUUUUCUUUCCUGAGAGAAAUAACUGGAGAUUAGGAAACAUCUUUUCUUAAAGAGUUUAAUGUACUUCCAAAUUCAAACAAAUAUUUAAAAUGUUACAGUAAUUUCAUCUAAAUCUUCUGUGUGUGUCCAUAAUUUUCUAAAAUAAGUGGUAAAUCACUUUAGGAAACCUAUAACAGAGUGAAAAUCAGCACACAUUAUUCGGGUUUACUGUGUGCGUGAUGCUUUGUUGAAGGAGGGAGGAGAUAGAAACAUGUCUGUCCCGCAAGAAGUUCACAAUUGGUGUGGCCACGGAUAAAACAUGUAAAUACAAUUUGCUACUAGCCAGGAACCAAAAAGAAGACUUGAGUUCCACAAAGGACGAUGAGAUUUACAAGGAGUUUUCCCAGAGGCAUGACGUUUGAACUAGCAUUUUACCAUCUUUGCAGACAGGAAUCUUCAUAGUUUCUACUUACUUUAUGGUUUAGCUAAAUUGAAGCACUAAAGGAUUCACGCAAUGUUUACCUAGAGUUUAAAAAACCUUGAUUUUAACAUUUUUAUUAACGGAUUGGGUGUAUGUUUUAAUCUAAAUGAUAAAGCUAUUAGAGUAAAUCAAGAUGACUAUUUUCUCUCAUAUUGACCUGUCCCUAACCUAAGCGGGUUUCAAACUUUGGCAUACUUUGAAAUUAUCAAUACACUUGUUAAAAUACAGAUUCCUCGCCAAACUUAAAGAAUCUCAACCUCCUGGGAUGGAGAGGCAAUGUGCUUUUAAAAAGGGUUCCAUGUGAAUCUGGUUUAAAACCAUUAAGCAAUUGGAUAAAUCAGAGGUAAAAUUUGGCCUCUAUAUAUGCUAUAGAUUAUGGAUAUGCUAUAAGUUAGUAACACUAUCUUCUGAUCUACUAAUGAAUAUUCCCCUUGAGGGGAGAUAAGGAAAAGUUAUUAAGCACUCUACUGUAAUAGGUAAUAAGUAAUAAGUCGGCUGACCCCCUGCUCAUAGCCAGCUUCCCUCAACCCCAGAAAGAUCAAUUUUUAAAACAUGUUUCCUGCAAGACAACUAUUUAAGUUAUUUCCAUUAAAAUAAAAAGACAUGGUGAUUUUCUCACAUGUCUGCUUUGAACUGGCUGCUGACAACUCAAUUUCCGGGGAAGAAGGGAAGAGCUGGCUCUCUGGUACUGAUAAUCUCUUUCACCUUCAUCCAGCACUCAGCUUCUUCCGGCAUUCCUGUAUCAGAAAGCAAACACGGGCAACUCUAAACCUUAACACUCACAUGCCUCUUAGUUGGUGUCACUGAGUUCCCUUGAGCAGGCAUUUGGAGGUGAGACAGCUCUUAAAAGUAAUCAAAUUGCAUAAACCACUCCUUUUGCAAAUGGACAGUGGGAAUUUAGCCAAGCACAGAGGAGAAAACUUCUGACAAAUGUGAUCCUAUAGCAGGGCUACUUAACUUAUGCUUGAGGACAAUGUUCGGUAUGACCAAGAUAAAGCUUGGUAGGACUAAUUCCUGCUGACCAAAGAAUUAAGAGAGCACCAGGACCUGAGAUGAGUCAGUCUAAUUCAAUCCUGACAUGAUCCCAGAAACUAAUGUCACAACAUUUCUGAUCCUUAGCUAAUAGGGGCAUUGUUAACAACAUCAGCUGCUCUGUUGUGGUUGUUACUGACUGGCACAAAGUGGAUGGAUUCGUUUUCCUUUGCUGGGCACCUCAAAACAUAACUACUAGUUGCAGAACAUUGUUAAGAAAAUACUUGUAAGAUAGUUUUACAAGUGGAUUUGCAUAUAGUAUUUGUUACCAAAAAGCGAUGGUACUGUAAAUUUUGUUUUUUCAAAUUUAUAUUGGCAAUUGUAGUCUCUGAGAACACUUAAAUAAAUGAAAGCAGGACUUUUACCAUUAUGCUUUCAAGAUUGAGAACCCUGAGUUCAAAAGCUGAUACUCUAAAAACACCUAGAUUGAAUGAACACUUUUCAAAAACCAAUAGGAGUAAUAAAU
rnacentral:lncRNA from 10 species